AGUUAGUGCGAUUGAUUUAGCGGCCGCGGUUCGCUCUUGUGCCAGCAGCCGCGGUAAUUCCAGCUCCAAUAGCGUAUAUUAAAGUUGUUGUGGUUAAAAAGCUCGUAGUUGAACCUUGGGCCUGGCUGGCCGGUCCGCCUCACCGCGUGCACUGGUCCGGCCGGGCCUUUCCCUCUGUGGAACCCCAUACCCUUCACUGGGCGUGGCGGGGAAACAGGACAUUUACUUUGAAAAAAUUAGAGUGCUCCAGGCAGGCCUAUGCUCGAAUACAUUAGCAUGGAAUAAUAAAAUAGGACGCGCGGUUCUAUUUUGUUGGUUUAUAGGAUCGCCGUAAUGAUUAAUAGGGACAGUCGGGGGCAUCAGUAUUCAACUGUCAGAGGUGAAAUUCUUGGAUCAGUUGAAGACUAACUACUGCGAAAGCAUUUGCCAAGGAUGUUUUCAUUAAUCAGGAACGAAAGUUAGGGGAUCGAAGACGAUCAGAUACCGUCGUAGUCUUAACCAUAAACUAUGCCGACUAGGGAUCGGACGGUGUUAUUCAUCACCCGCUCCGCACCUUACGAGUAUCAGUGUGUGUCGCCUACAAAGAAAAAAAAAGCCCGCAUGAUUAAACUUAAAGAAUUGGACGCACGGCCGCGCGCGGGGGUGUGAGCCUGCUCUUAUGUGGACUCAACACGAGCACACUCCCCACGCCCAGACAAAUAAGAUUGACAGAUUGCUAUCUCUUCUGGUUAGGGGGGGAGCGCCCCUGCCUCUUCUGGUUGGGGGUGUUUCUUGUCUACUUAC
rnacentral:rRNA from 1 species